rnacentral:rRNA from 1 species
UACAGAGGUCUCGAGCGUUAGGCGGAAUCACUGGGCGUAAAGGGCGCGUAGGUGGCGCGGGUAGUCAUCGGUGAAAGCUCAGGGCUCAACCCUGAGUCGGCCGGUGAUACUCCCGUGCUUGAGUGUGGUAGAGGCCAAUGGAAUUCCGGGUGUAGCGGUGGAAUGCGUAGAGAUCCGGAAGAACACCGGUGGCGAAGGCGGUUGGCUGGGCCACAACUGACACUGAUGCGCGACAGCGUGGGGAGCAAACAGG